UACGUAGGCAGCAAGCGUUAUUCGGAUUCACUGGGCGUAAAGGGUGCGCAGGCGGUUGGGUGUGUCAGAUGUGAAAUCCCGAGGCUUAACCUCGGAACUGCGUCUGAAACUACUCGACUAGAGUACUGGAGAGGGAAACGGAAUUCACGGUGUAGCAGUGAAAUGCGUAGAUAUCGUGAGGAACACCAGAGGCGAAGGCGGUUUCCUGGACAGUUACUGACGCUCAGGCACGAAAGCAUGGGGAGCAAAAGGG
rnacentral:rRNA from 1 species